CGCACGCCGGAAGACCAAGGGUUCCUGUCCAACGUUAAACGGGGCAGGGUGAGUCGACCCCUAAGGCGAGGCUGAAAAGCGUAGUCGAUGGGAAGCUGGUUAAUAUUCCAGCACUUGGUGUUACUGCGAAGGGGGGACGGAGAAGGCUAGGCUAGCCGGGCGACGGUUGUCCCGGUUCAAGCGUGUAGGGGGUGUGAUUUGGUAAAUCCGGUCGCAUAUCAACCCUGAGGCGUGAUAACGAGCCACUACGGUGGUGAAGUAGUUGAUGCCAAGCUUCCAGGAAAAGCCUCUAAGCUCCAGGUAACACGAAAUCGUACCCCAAACCGACACAGGUGGUCAGGUAGAGAAUACUCAGGCGCUUGAGAGAACUCGGGUGAAGGAUCUAGGCAAAAUGGUGCCGUAACUUCGGGAGAAGGCACGCUGGCGCGUAGGUGAAGGGACUUGCUCCCGGAGCUGAAGCCAGUCGAAGAUACAAGCUUGCUGCAACUGUUUAAUAAAUACACAGCACUGUGCAAACACGAAAGUGGUCGUAUCAGGUGUGACGCCUGCACGGUGCCGGAAGGUUA
rnacentral:rRNA from 1 species